UCGUUUCUCUAGUCCCACUUGAUAUCAGUUCCGCAAUAUCUACCUUCCUGUGUUUCAUUGCCAUACUUGAGGGUUUUGGAUAUUUUACCAUGAUUCAUUAUUAAAGUCAAACAUAAGAUAUAGGAGGAUGGAAAGCGAGAGGAAUGACUUGAGGACCAGUGAAGCCUCAAUAUAAGUAGUUUCAAAAGAACAGGAUGGAGUCUAAUUGGUGUUGCCAUUUGUUGAUUCUACAGUCUUGACCUAGAUGCGCAGAAUUCAUGUUAAAAUUCCAGCUAAAAUUAUAGCUGUAGGAGCCAACAAAAGUACAUAUAUAUACAUCAGCCACCGAAACUACACAAGAUUGAUGGAGGUAAGAAAUGCAUUCUGUCAGAUAUAGAUAUUUCCUGAGAGACACAGCUAGAUUAUACAAAUACAGAAGUGAAUGCUAGUGGCAUACCAGUAAACUGGAAAUGGACUUCUUGUUUUUAGAUUUUAAAAAAAGAUUACAAGAGCUGAAGGGCUUUAACACUACAAGAACAACAAUGCCAAUGAACCAGAGCUUUCUGAUACUAGAACAAUAUUCAAAGAAUGUACAUGGACAGAGCUAUGGCUCCAACUGCAUAUGUGGAAGAGAAUAGACUUGGUGGGCACCAAUGGAAGGAGAAGUCCUUGGUCCUCCCUAGGUUUGACUCCAAGUUCAAGGACCUUUUCUUCUUGCGAAAAAGUGUAAAGGUCAUGAGUUCUCAGGAAAACAACUGUGCCCUUCACAACACUUGGCUUUUGGAAUAAAGAAAUAAAUGAUAUAAA